UACGUAGGGUGCAAGCGUUGUCCGGAAUUAUUGGGCGUAAAGAGCUCGUAGGCGGCCAACUAAGUCAGACGUGAAAUCCCUCGGCUUAACCGGGGAACUGCGUCUGAUACUGGAUGGCUUGAGAUUGGGAGAGGGAUGCGGAAUUCCAGGUGUAGCGGUGAAAUGCGUAGAUAUCUGGAGGAACACCGGUGGCGAAGGCGGCAUCCUGGACCAACACUGACGCUGAGACGCGAAAGCGUGGGGAGCGAACAGG
rnacentral:rRNA from 1 species